AGGAAUGGAGAGACAACAGAGCAGAGUUUAGGAAGAAAGUGAGUCGCUGCGUCAGAAGAUCUCAAGAGAUGCUAUGAACAUGUCUCCUGCAAUGUUCGUGUUGUAGAAAUUUCUAUUCUAAUCUUUAUGAGAGAGCGCAAGCAGAACCAUGUUGAAGCAAGCAGCAGAUGAAAUCUGACUGUCUCAAAACUCAAAAGCUCCUCUUUUUCUUAAUUCAUUUUAUUUUCUUUUGGUUUUGGG
rnacentral:lncRNA from 1 species